ensembl:lncRNA
GUCAAACUCUGGGAAAUACAGAGAAAAAUUUUCCAUACUGUCUCCCACUGUGUGUAACCAGACCUCCUGUUUGUACGUGGAGCAGCCAAGGUCCCUGAGAAGCCAGGACCAGUAGAAGCAGUGUGGAACUCACUGUACCCCUGAACUGGAGGUUGCCCUGUCCUAGAUCCACUCCUGAUCCCAGACUAGACCACUGCCCAGGCCUCACACGUAUGCUGGGGUACAGACUGGAAAACUUCUAGAGCUGAACCAGCAUCAGAACUGCAGCUCCGAGAAGGACCCAGAACUUCACAACAAAAUAUUCACAGUGUCUAGGAUGCAACCCAGAAUUAUAUGAAUGAAAAACCUGGAAAAAAUCUCAGCAAUCACAAGAGACAAAACUCAACAGACAUUUUAAUCAUAAGAAGACUCGGGCUGGGGAUUUAGCUCAGUGGUUUCACUGCUUGCUGUGCAAGCGCAAGGACCCGAGUUCGAUCCCCAGUACCAAAAAAAAAAAAAGAAGAAGACUCC